AGUACUUUUUGCAUUGUCGGCCACAUUAUUUUUAAUUUGAUAAAUCUAUUUUUUGUUGAUCUAAGCUCAAAAAAAUCAUUUUCAUUUAUCUUACGUCAAUGUGGAUUUCUAUACUUUAAAGGCUUAAGUAUUGUUUCUAUUGCCCACUGGAUACUUCCCGAUGUUUUCGUUCUGCUUAAUACUAUUGUUUUUUUUAUUUGCUCUAAAAUUAAAUAUAAAAGGCAAAAGAAAGUUUUUCAAAAUGACGACGAUGUGUUUUACAAAAAGAGUAAGGAAUCAAAAGGUGCUUUAAAAGUUGCUGAGAUAAAUCGAAUUUUGAUCAUUGUUUAUAUUCAAUCGGUACUAAAGACAUCUCUUAUUUUUUCUCUUAUGGUGCUUUACUUUGCUGCAACCUUAAGACCUUCACUGCCAGGAAGCCUAUACUUCUGUAUGUUUAUAAUAGCUGGCACCUAUUGGGCACUUUAUCGCCAACGAAAAAUGUACUAUGCUGUAAUAUUUAUGGUUGUGGCGCUUUUAGUACAUAUAACAUGUUUAUUUGCUUAUCAAUUGCCAAUUUUGCAAAGCUCAAUUAAUUGUGAUAAACUUUGGACCAGG